CUUCGCCCAAGAUAUGUCUCCUAUCUGUGGUUCCAAGGCCAAGGGAGUUUUCCCCUGAUGCCAAAGAGCCUACCUGUCAAGUGUAUUUUUGACCAACUCCUGUCUGGACCUCAAGACAUCGCUGAAAGCUGAUAAACUGGGCAGUCAUUACGAUGAAGCCAGGCUUGUUUCAGAAUUCCAUGAGAACCACAGUGUCAGGCCUGACUCCGGGGCUGGAAAUGGAAAAGGCUGUGAUCCAGGGCUGGCUGGCACCAUCCCCAUGAGUCAUUAUGGAAACACUGUCCCCGGAUGCUGCUGAGCAGGCCGGGUUGCUGGUGAGUCCAUCUGUCAGAUGAAAUCUUGACCCCCUGACAUCUUAAAAUGUUCCAUAAAAUGUGGGACGUUGGGCUUUCUGUCUGGUAUCCUGCUUGCAUUAAAAAUUGGGUUGUUUUAUUCUAUUUUUGGUUCCCCU
rnacentral:lncRNA from 1 species